AACGAACGCUGGCGGCAGGCUUAACACAUGCAAGUCGAACGCAUCCUUCGGGGUGAGUGGCAGACGGGUGAGUAACACGUGGGAACGUACCUUUCGGUUCGGGAUAACCCAGGGAAACUUGGGCUAAUACCGGAUACGUCCUUUGGGAGAAAGAUUUAUUGCCGAGAGAUCGGCCCGCGUCUGAUUAGCUAGUUGGUGGGGUAAUGGCCCACCAAGGCGACGAUCAGUAGCUGGUCUGAGAGGAUGAUCAGCCACACUGGGACUGAGACACGGCCCAGACUCCUACGGGAGGCAGCAGUGGGGAAUAUUGGACAAUGGGCGCAAGCCUGAUCCAGCCAUGCCGCGUGAGUGAUGAAGGCCCUAGGGUUGUAAAGCUCUUUUGUCAGGGAAGAAACGGUUCGGGCCAAUACCCUGGGCUAAUGACGGUACCUGAAGAAUAAGCACCGGCUAACUACGUGCCAGCCGCCGCAGUAAC
rnacentral:rRNA from 1 species